rnacentral:rRNA from 1 species
ACGAUAUAGUGGCAGACGGGUGAGUAACGCGUGGGAACGUACCCCCUCUCUACGGAAUAGCUCUGGGAAACUGGUGGUAAUACCGUAUACGCCCUCCGGGGGAAAGAUUUAUCGGUGAAAGAUCGGCCCGCGUUGGAUUAGCUAGUUGGUGAGGUAAUGGCUCACAAAGGCGACGAUCCAUAGCUGGUCUGAGAGGAUGAUCAGCCACACUGGGACUGAGACACGGCCCAGACUCCUACGGGAGGCAGCAGUGGGGAAUCUUGCACAAUGGGCGAAAGCCUGAUGCAGCCAUGCCGCGUGAAUGAUGAAGGCCUUAGGGUUGUAAAAUUCUUUCGUCAGGGAUGAUAAUGACCGUACCUGAAGAAGAAGCCCCGGCUAACUUCGUGCCAGCAGCCGCGGUAAUACGAAGGGGGCUAGCGUUGUUCGGAAUUACUGGGCGUAAAGCGCACGUAGGCGGACUUUUAAGUCAGGUGUGAAAUCCCGGGGCUCAACCUCGGAACUGCAUUUGAAACUGGGAGUCUUGAGAUCAGGAGAGGUUAGCGGAAUACCGAGUGUAGAGGUGAAAUUCGUAGAUAUUCGGUGGAACACCAGUGGCGAAGGCGGCCAACUGGACUGAUACUGACGCUGAGGUGCGAAAGUGUGGGGAGCAAACAGGAUUAGAUAUCCUGGUAGUCCACACCGUAAACGAUGAGAGCUAGUUGUUGGCAGGCAUGCCUGUCGGUGACGCAGCUAACGCAUUAAGCUCUCCGCCUGGGGAGUACGGCCGCAAGGUUAAAACUCAAAGAAAUUGACGGGGGCCCGCACAAGCGGUGGAGCAUGU